rnacentral:rRNA from 1 species
AUACGUAGGGUGCGAGCGUUGUCCGGAAUUACUGGGCGUAAAGAGCUCGUAGGUGGUUUGUCGCGUCGUCUGUGAAAUUCCGGGGCUUAACUCCGGGCGUGCAGGCGAUACGGGCAUAACUUGAGUACUGUAGGGGAGACUGGAAUUCCUGGUGUAGCGGUGAAAUGCGCCGAUAUCAGGAGGAACCCCGGAGGCGAAGGCGGGUUCCUGGGCAGUAACUGACGCUGAGGAGCGAAGGCAUGGGUGGAGGAAAGACUUGGAUCCCCUGGAGUUCCAGGCCGUGAAGGGAGGGCUCUAGGUGUAGGGAUCUUCCACGCCUUCUGUGCCGUAGCUCAAGCAUUAAGCGCCCCGCCUGGGGAGUACGGCCGCAAGGCUAAAACUCAAAUGAAUUGACGUGG